rnacentral:rRNA from 1 species
CAAUAGCGUAUAUUAAAGUUGUUGCGGUUAAAAAGCUCGUAGUUGGAUUUCUGCUGAGAACGACCGGUCCGCCCUUUGGGUGUGUAUCUGGCUCUUUCUUGGCAUCUUCUUGGUGAACGUUGCUGCACUUGACUGUGUGGAGCGCUACCCAGGACUUUUACUUUGAGGAAAUUAGAGUGUUUCAAGCAGGCAUACGCCUUGAAUACAUUAGCAUGGAAUAAUAAGAUAGGACCUCGGUUCUAUUUUGUUGGUUUCUAGAGCUGAGGUAAUGAUUAAUAGGGAUAGUUGGGGGCAUUCGUAUUUAACUGUCAGAGGUGAAAUUCUUGGAUUUGUAAAAGACGGACUACUGCGAAAGCAUUUGCCAAGGAUGUUUUCAUUGA